UUUAGGUGAAAACCAAACCAAAUAUUUUGAAAGAAAUGGCGUUGGAAAAUGAAAUUAUUGAUCGAUUUGCGUACACUCAAAUUAAUUUACUGGUAGAAUCUAAGUGCAGAAAGCACAUAUAUCACGAACGAGAGAGAAAAAAAUCAUUCUAUGUGCAACUAAUGAAAAUUGAAAGUUACGUAAUUAUAUUUCAUUCUUCCUGUAAUAUAUGUGAAGUGUAGCAACAUAAAAACCAAGCACAAGUAUAACAAACAUGAAACGAACAUGGCGCGUGCAGAAGGCAAACAUUUUGUCGUAGAAAAUUUAUUUUUCCGGUGCUCCGUGGAUCGAGUCGCUGCUGCUUUUGAAGAAUCGCAUUUUAUCGACCACCUCUCCACCGUCACCAAGGACGAGCUCGUGAAUGUUUUGGGAGCUGCCGGAUGCAGCUGCGACUGGAAGUUUUCAGAGCCCAGUGACGACGUGCUAUAUGAACAGCUAAAAGUAUCUAAAGUCAAGUGUUAAAAUCGAGAUUAGGAUCAAUAAAAUCUGCUUGAUCGCGUAGACUAUGCGAAA